AUGACGAUCCAAUACUUCAGCAGAGAAGUUACCACUGUGGAGAGAACCUCGAAGAACGCCUGCCCUGCUUCAGCCUCUACCUCCUUGCCUUUGUCUGGCCCUCAUGUUUGUGCAGAUCUCCUGGACAGCCUGCUUCAAGAAAUUCUGCUUCAUGAAAUUAUUGCUCUGUUUGACUCAUUCCAUGACUUCCUUGCAUUCAUUGGCACCUGUUGCUCUUGGCGUGCUGCAGUCUCUACCUUUCCCUCUGUGCAUACAUUCAGCUUCCCACCGCUCCACUUGAAACCAGAUGGUCCUUAUGUUCAUCCACAUAGCGGCCCUAUCAAGCCCAUCCCUUUAUCUAAUUGCAAAUGGCAGUUCAGUGAUCCUAGCAAGAAAAACUUAUCCCUUGCGUGUUCAGUGCCUAAAAAUAGUCCAAAUAAAAUGCACUAUUUGGGCUGCUCAUAUGGGUAUCUUAUCUUCUCCCACAAGGUUCACUGCCUCCUUGUCGAUGUAUACACUGGUAGCAAGGUGAUGCCCCCCAAACUCCCACCUAACAACGAUCUUGGGUACUUCUGUGGAAUAGGCAUCCUUACGGCCCCAUUGAUUUCACCCAACUCUCGCCUCCUUUUCUCUAGAGAUUCCAUGUUUGAGUGGCAUGUUGGAACAAACUCCUGGUCAGAGCACACCCUUACUCUUGAUUAUGAACUCAUCUAUCAGAUUGUGUCCUUCAAAGGAGAUAUCUUUGUCAUAGAUGCUCUUCUUAGGCUCCACGCUAUACACUUCAGACCUCAAUUCCACAUGCAAAAAAUAGCAAUUAAAAAGGAGUUUGUGCCUAUGUACUCAUGGUUGGUGGUCUGUGGUGACAUGCUUCUGAUGAUUGACCAAAGGUUCAGCUCUGGCGGAUUGGGUGGCUCAUCUAACGCAUUCUUUAGGGUCUUUCGCCUCAACUUCUCUGUCGAGGCAGCUAAGUGGGUGAAGUUGGAGAAGCUGGAGAAUUAUGCUCUGUUUGUUAGCCCUGAUAGAAGGAAUCCUACAUUUUGUUGCAUGAGCCCGGAAAGAUGGGGAGGAAAGAGUAACUGCAUUUAUUUUGCGAGGCUAUCUGAAGAUCCCGAUGAAACUUGGACCGCGGUCGAGUUUGGUCAGCCAGUGCCAAACAAUGCAGUUCGCUCCAUGCUCUUCUAUGAUAUUUCGUCCCCUCCAGACUGUGGUGUACUAUGUAGCCUCUGGGUGUUCCCCAGUUUAGUUUAUGGUUCUGGCUAG
rnacentral:rRNA from 1 species